rnacentral:tRNA from 2 species
GCGCGGGUGGCGGAAUUGGUAGACGCGCUAGCUUGAGGUGCUAGUGCCCACUAUAUCGGGCGUGGGGGUUCAAGUCCCCCCUCGCGCA